rnacentral:rRNA from 1 species
UCGGGAAUCUUUGUCAAUGGACGCAAGUCUGAACAAGCGAUGCCGCGUGCGGGAUGAAGGCCUUCGGGUUGUAAACCGCUGUCGGAGGGGAGCAAAUUUUGAGCGAUCCUCAGAGGAAGCCCGGGCUAAGUUCGUGCCAGCAGCCGCGGUAACACGAACCGGGCAAACGUUAUUCGGAAUCACUGGGCUUAAAGGGUGCGUAGGCGGCGCUAUAAGUCGGGUGUGAAAUCCCACGGCCCAACCGUGGAACUGCGCCCGAUACUGUAGUGCUUGAGGGAGAUAGAGGUGAGCGGAACGAAUGGUGGAGCGGUGAAAUGCGUUGGUAUCAUUCGGAACACCUGUGGCGUAAGCGGCUCACUGGGUCUCUUCUGACGCCGAGGCACGAAAGCUAGGGGAGCGAACGGGAUUAGAUACCCCUGUAGUCC